rnacentral:rRNA from 1 species
UAAUACGGAAGGUGCAAGCGUUGUUCGGAAUGACUGGGCGUAAAGCGCACGUAGGCGGGUUCGUAAGUCGGAUGUGAAAGCCCCAGGCUCAACCUGGGAACGGCACCCGAAACUUCGAAUCUUGAAUGCUUGAGAGGUUGGUGGAAUUCCUGGUGUAGGAGUGAAAUCCGUAGAUAUCAGGAGGAACACCGGAGGCGAAGGCGGCCAACUGGUGGUGCAUUGACGCUAAGGUGCGAAAGCGUGGGGAGCAAACAGG